CUUAGAGGUUUUUCUCGGAUCUUCAACUCAGGUUCUGAGUCUUAAAUUCUCCCUCUGCAGAAAGGUGUUGUCCGUUCUGGAAUGAGGAGAAAGGGAGUCUGAUGGGCUUAUUUCUCUUUGACUUGCUUCAACUAAAAGGAAGGUGCAUUGUGUCAGAAGUAGGAUUCAAAAAUUGGAUUUUAUUGUAUUGGUAUAUGGUUUCUUAAACUUUUUUUUCAAGGAGGUUUCUUAAACUUAUACUUUGUCUGGAUGGAACAAUGUAUCCUAAAGCCAAAAAUUCAAGGACUAACAUCAGUUCCUUCCUUUGGAAUAUAAAAGUAACACUAAAUACUAAAUGAAGAGAAAAGAUAGGUGGGUUGGAAGACAUAUCACAGUGGAAGUACUAUAUCUCUAGGUGGGAUGGUGAGGAAUAUUUUUGAUGCUCUAUUUUCUCUAUAUCAUGUGUCAUUACAUGUAGUAUUAUUACCAGGAUGCCCAAGAAACAAUUUUCAUUGUUUCAUUUUUCCAUAUGCAGCACCCCAAGAAUUAGAGAUUUCCUUUAAGUGUGGCCAUGUUGAAGAGCCAAAAGGAGAGAAAGCCAAAAAUGCUACAAGAGGAACAAAUUUUUGAAAGGGUUUGGCCACAAUAUGUAGAUCCCAGAACACACAAAGAUACGGGAUGUACUGAGGUUACUGGGUUGAUACUUAUACACAGCAGAAGUAUGAAGCAAGAGAUAAUAGUUAGCCAAUGCUUGGUUGGAGAAGGAUAAAGUUGCUUUGAGAAUCCAAAUAUGGAGAUAGUUGGCGUGGAUGUCAAGGGAAAGUGAUUUGUGAGUGUUGGUCAUAAAUGUGAACUCUGGAUGAAAAUUUAGUUACUUGAAACCCAUGUAUCCUGAAGCGGCGAAGCCCAUCUUUUAAAUGGGGUUCAUAAUUUUUUUCUUUCUUAUUUCUAUAAAGGAAUUGUCUGUCCCAACAAAAAUCUCAUUUCUAUAAAUGGUUUUAUUUCUUCAGUCUUAAAGAUUUGUUCCCCCUAUCUCCAUCUGGUACGGGAUAGACGGAUUUGCAUGAGGCAACCAGCUCAUGAAAGGUACCUUCCACAUCUUUGUAACCCUGAUGGAUAUUGCUUUGAAGUGUGUACUCUGAGAUGUAAUUAAAUAAAACAAGGAGUGAGUUUGAAUUGUGUUGUUCUAAAACUUUGUUUUUCAAAAGAUUAUUAUUUUCAAAACCAUUUCGCAAUUGUUAAGUGUAGUAGAUAAAAGAACAGAAGAGUAAACG